rnacentral:rRNA from 1 species
UUCACACAUGCAAGUCGAACGAGGUAGCAAUACCUAGUGGCGGACGGGUGAGUAACGCGUGGGAAUCUGUCCUUUAGAGUGGGGGAUAACGGGUCGAAAGACUCGCUAAUACCGCAUAUGACGAAAGUUGAAAGGAGUAAUCCGUCUAAAGAUGAGCCCGCGUCCGAUUAGCUAGUUGGUAGAGUAAAAGCCUACCAAGGCGACGAUCGGUAGCUGGUCUGAGAGGAUGAUCAGCCACAAUGGACUGAGACACGGCCCAUACUCCUACGGGAGGCAGCAGUGGGGAAUUUUACGCAAUGGGCGAAAGCCUGACGUGGCGACACCGCGUGAGCGAAGAAGCCCCUUGGGGUGUAAAGCUCUGUCAGCUGGAACGAAAAAAAUGACGGUACCAGCAGAGGAAGCAUCGGCUAACUACGUG